CCAGCUAUGAAAUACGCUGAUAGUGCAUGCCUCCUUGUUUCUUUGUUUGUAUUUAAAUUUGGCAUUGAGAGCUGCUUAGAUGCUUUUCACGGGAGGCCAUUUAUGGCUUCCCAUGGGAGACAUGAAAAUGAAGAGAUUCGGUAUGGGACCUGUCAUCUAGGAGCUUAAAGUCAAGGAGGAAUUAUCUACUGUGUCUUGAAUGUGCAUCUCCUAGUUUUUAAAUUUUACACUUUUAUAUGAACAGUUUUAACACUUAAAAAAAAUUCCAAUUUCCUCCACUGUUUUUCACAAUGCUCAUUCUCUUUCCAUGAGUGCCAGCUGACUGGUAUCCUGUGCCUGGACUGAUGUUGAAUGUUCUUCUUCCAACUUAAACUUUGGAUGGUUUUGCAGAUGGGGAUGGGGCAGAGACCCUCUGAAAAUGAAUGCACAAGUUUAUGUUCUUGUGACUGUGUCAGUUUUUCAGGAGGGAGGUAAUCCUCUAAUAUGCUGUAACACAAAAAUGAUUCUGGAUCACUGAACCUGGAUGUAGAAAGACUAUGUCGUGUGUGUGUGUGUGUGUGUGUGUGUGUGUGUGUGUGUGUGUGUGGUGUGUAUGUGUCCUGGUAAAAUCACAGUCUCAUAGGUUAAUGUCUCCUGGAUAAUGCUCUUCUGAGACUACUGAAGCAAUGUAUACUUUAUCAAGAUACAAAAGUCACAGUUAAAAAUUUAAUGAGCCAAGUAGCUUUAAGGAAAUGCAGGAAAAAGUGAUAAAGGAUGAAGCUUUUUUGUUUUUUUCUUUUCCACUGCACCUGUGGCCUAUGGAAGUUCCCAGGCCAGGGACUGAAUCUGAGCCACAGCUGCGGCAGUGCCAGAGGGGAUGGGCUUUUUUUAACCCAUUUAAUUGGGUAUUCAGGUUAAAACACACACACACACACUCUCUGCAAAACACAUUAACUUUAGUGUCUUGGGGAGAAGGUGAUUUGCUGUUUACAUACAUUGUACAUCGCUAUUUACAUCCAAUUAAAGUUGAAGCCCUGCUUAGGAGGAGGCAGACCGAGAGAAUACUUUCACGCAGACAAAAGACAACUUUCAUACAGUGGAAACAGGAACUUCUGAAAAAUGCUUCGGCUGUCCACUUCGGUUACAAGGGCAGGAUAGUUUUAGAGUAGGUGGGAGAGAGCGCCUCCUUUUAAUGAUCUCUUGGGCGUGUGGGGUAGUAGGGGAUCCAGCGAAGUUAACUGAAUGAACCUCUCAAUGAUACAUUCACUGCUUUUCUAAACUUUGGGACAGUAGCAAAGACCCUGUUUAACCAAUCCCAUCAAUGUAUUUUUAAACGAAUACUCUGUGGGGGGGCGGGCAGAAUAAUGAUCCCCUGAAAUGCUCCCACCUAAGUCCUGGAACCUGGAUACCUUGUGUUUCACAGCCGAGGGGCGUUGAGGUUGUGGAUGGGCAUUAAGGAUGCCAAUCAGCUAUCUUCAAACAGGGCGAGGGGCCUGGGUCCUCCAGGUGGGCUCAAUGUACUCACAAGCAUCCUUAAGGCGGAAGAGGAGGCGGGGACUUAGGUCAGUGAUUCACUCUUCAAAGAUGGCGGCAGGCGGCUCCUGGAAUUUCAAGAGGGCAGGGGGAUGCUUUUUUCCCUCUGGAGCCCCCUGGAAAGGAAGGCAGGCCUGCAGACACCUGGACUUGGCCCGCUUCUAUGACCAGCCUUGCCAGACCUGUUUCUAUGGAGACAGACAUUAAACCGGUGAACAUACUAGAGAAACUACUAUUAGGAUGUUCUUUGAAACUUGGAUUUGCCAGAGACCUGAUUGUCGGCGAAGAUCAGAAAGUGGUACCUUCUGGAAUUAAAACCCUGCAAGAUCAUAAUGAGAUGGAUGAAACUCUUCAUCUGCGGAAAUCUUCCGAGACGCAACUCUCUAAAAGAAAGGUGCGAAAGUGUUUCUGAAAAACACCACAACUUCCUGUUCAUCCAAGACUCCAAGGUGCCUCCCUCCAAGUCAGCCAGCACCUGUAACAUGACUAAUGCCAAGUGCUAAUCUUUGAGCUGCAACAUUAAUGUAUAAUGGGCUAUUUUGGUGACAGAUGAAAUAUUGAAAGGGUUCGAUAGCUACAAAAUCUUUAGCAUUCUUUCAGUACUGUCCAGGGAAAGAUGUUCUGACUCUAGAUGACUAGUCUUGCUUAUUUAAAGACAAAUAUCCCUAGAGUGGAAAAGGGCAAUUUAUCAGUGUUAAGAGUUAUAGAAGUAGCCUUUCAAGGGUGUCUAAAUCCAUAUAGCCAAUCCCUUGUAUAUCAAGCUAUACUAGAAUGUUUUCCCUCUACAUUAUUACUCUUUCUGAAGAGUUCUCAUUCUCCAUUUUCCCAACUUCAUCCUAUUCUUCAAACCCCAACUCAAAUAUCUGUCUUCACGCAACCAUCUCUCAUCCUCCAUUCUUCCAAGUUCUUGGCAUUUUUUUUUAUAAUAAAUUCUGCUUUCUGUUAUAGCUGGCUUUAUCCAUCAGGCUGUAUGUUCUUUGCUGUGUACUUACUUUUUGAUUCGUGUUUAAAAAGUUUGCAGAUACAUGCAUCAAACUCUCCUCUAGAUGCUUGCAUAUUCGUUCUAUCCUGUGUCUGGCAGGUGCUUAGAUUUGCUCUAGCCCAUUGUAGACACUCCCUAACUGCACACUGCUAUUUGGUAUGGCAUCUGAGGGGAUUGCCCUACUGCAAGGAGAGUCCCAUGAAGGUGAACGGGUCCAGGAAAAUGGGUCUGUAUUACCCACGUAUGAAAUAAAUCAAGUGAUUGGAACUUGACUCAUGUAAGUCAGCUUCAGAGAGUGUCAUUAUUCCUGGGUCAAGGUGGGGAAAAGAAGUCGGAACUUGGAAAGUUGAUGGUUGGUAUUGUGGAAUGUGGAGACCCCACUGAUGUUCACCUGCAGUGGUGAGAUUCUGCCUGGGAGACCCAUGAGGCCUCUGAGAGAUGCAUCGCACCUCUUCGCAUAAUGAUUGCAAAAAAUCAGCCAGAUUAAUGGAAAACUACCCUGAGAUGCUAUGUAGAUUCUGACACAAGAGAACUUGGUUUAGGAGAACAAUUGUCCAAAUGGGUCUUAAAAUCUCAAACCAAAGCUCAGCAGUUGCUGGGGGAAAAACAUUCAACAUCGUUCUUACAGACCCUAUUAAUUAGGCAUUUAUAAUAACCACAAUAUGGUUGGUAUUUAGUAGAAAAAGGUAGUUUAUUUUUUAAUAAAUGUUAGGCUUUCAUAAGGUAUGGGAAAAGUAAUCUAAAAAUAGCAUUGUUGGGGAGAGUUUGGGGUUAACAGAUGUGAACUAUUACAUUUAGAAUGGAUAAGCAAUGAGGUCCUACUGUACAGCAAAGGGAACUGUAUCCAGUCUCUGGGAUGGAUCAUGAUGG